UAAUAUUUUCGAUAUUAACUAUCAAAAAAAACCUUUCUUAUUUAUAUCGCUCCACAGACGAUUAUAUAUAUUUAUCAGUUGAUUACUCAUUUCUGAUCGACAAACGAAACAAGCUGUUGUCCGGUCUUCCAUCGAAUUUUCUUGUUAGCGCUUGUUUAUUGUAUUAUGUCACCAUUGGCAAAUUACACGGAGAAGGCGGCGAGAAAUUGCAUCCAAUCAGCAUGCGGCAGUCAUGAAACUUGUAACGUAUUUUAUUACAAGGACUACCUGUAAUAAACAGGUAAAUAAAUAAAUGAUAAAAAAAUAAAUGAAA